rnacentral:lncRNA from 10 species
GUCGCACGCUUUGCGUAGAUGAGGGAUGACGCAGGCACAGGCCUGAGCGUCGCACGCUUUGCGUAGAUGAGGGAUGGCGCCGGCGCAGGCCUGCGCGCCACGCGCUUUAGGUGGAUGAGGGAUGGCGCAGGUGCAGGCCUGCGCGCCUCACGCUUUAUGUACAUGAGGGAUGAGGCAGCACAGGAAUUGGCACAACCUGAAGUCAGCUCUGCAGCUUUCCAAGCUUCGUUCUGCGUGUCCUGUACUCAACAGUCAUCUCAUGCUGCAGGGUGGCUGCGUGUGCUCCGUACAUCACACCCAUAUUUCAGGGAGAAGACUGCACAUAUAACACAGCUCUGCAUGGAAAACCUUCCGCCUGGAGGGGUGGCUUCCUAGAGGUGUGGCGUUGCCCUCUGUCUUGAACAGGCUGUGAGCCGUUUUGUCAUUUGGGGUUUCUAGAUGCAAACAGCAGAAGCUGCUGGCCAAUUACCAAAGGGAACGUGCUGUUAGGAUAUCAGGGCCUGGGAGCUGCAGCAAUGUGGGCUGACAGCAGAGAGCUAAGGCACUUUCCGAGGUGACGAGCUGGGCUGCUAUGCUGGAGACGGCUGGGCAGAAGCAGUUAGCAGGGCAUUUCCUUGUGUCCUUAUCUCAAGAGUCACAGUUUCAGGAGUGAGCAUCUCAGAGGUCAGGGUUCAUUCACAUGCCACCUCCCUUCUCACUGUGUCAUUGGGGAGGGGCCGUCUGGACCCUCUGGCUCCUGUGGCAAGAAAUGGUCCCAUCAAGUCAUCCAAGGGCCUGGAAGCCUCCCAAGGAAAGCAGGAGGGCUGGGUGCUGAGCAGCGUCCAGCAGCAAAGGUAGGCUCCAGCCCCGCAGGUGUGGCUGCGCCAUCCCAGGGAACGUGCCCCAGCAAGUGCUGGUGCUGCUCUCACUACAGGUGGGGUUGGUUUCACUGGACAGGUGGCACUUCCUCACCUCUUGCCCUCUGGACCCACGGCAGGCACUUUCCAGGGCACAUCACGUGGGUGUGCGGUCUGGCUGCUGGGUCCACGCGGGUUCUCAAUCAUGACCUGGCUUGCAAGCUCUUUCCACAGUUGGAUAAAUGAAGCCGUUGGGGAAGUAUCCGCAAACUCUUACAGUGAGUAUGUGAUAAUGACACACGCGUGGCCCUUCUAAGACCUCCGCUAGGCAUUAUCAGUGACUGUGCUCGUGAGCGCUGACCUCCGCUAGGCGUUAUCAGGGACUGUGCUCGUGAGCGCCGACCUCCGCUAGGCGUUAUCAGGGACUGUGCUCGUGAGCGCGGACCUCCGCUAGGCGAUAUCAGGGACUGUGCUCAUGAGGGCGGACUUUCACCAGCCACGCUUCCGAGGAGUGGAGUCUUUCUCAGCUCUGCCUCUCCAAGAUGACCAUCUUGUGAAGACGAUGCGUUCUUUAUACACAAGUUCUGUGUGUGUGUGUGUGUGUUCCACACACAGGACCAAAGUUGAGAUAGGCGCACAUUUUCUUGGUCCCACUUGUGGCCCCAGUCGGCUGUCAGAAGUGGGUGUGCUCCACAUGUACCCACCAUGUCAGGGCACAGUGCUCACAUUUCACACCUCAGCAGGUGCCUUGAUGUUGACCAGAGGCCCCAAAAUCAUCUCUUUCUAUGACUUCUAGAUCUUAGAUUCCCAGGAACUGGGAAAUGCAGUCAGUAUCUUUUGGGUCCAAGAAACUUUGUCAGAGCCCUUGUGGGAGAACCAUAGAUUCUCACCAGAUAAACAGAAGAGCUUCGUGUUAGAGAAACCCGCCUGUCUCCCCACAUUCUCAGUUUUCUGGAGAGCAGCUGAAAGCCAUCUGGGUGGAGAUUAAGAGCUCCAACCGUGUAGCUUUGAUGUAUCGGGCAAGUUGCUUAAGCUCUUUAAUGCUGUUUCCUCAUUUAUUGUGUGAGGCCAAAAAUACCCAUUCCUUAAAGUUGUGAGGAUUAAAAACAGUAAUGAAAAGUGAGUGGCAAGUGCCGAGUACACAGUCAAGUACCUGAUACUUUUUAGUGUAAGGUAAGUAGCAAGAAAGCAUGAAAUUUAUUUUCAUUUACUCUUACUACAUGUGGUAAACCAUCUAUGCACAGAGCACUGCAUUGGGUGCCAUGAAUGACAGAAUAAGAGUACCAGGUGCAUGAAAAGCUUAAAAGACAAAUGAGACAGAGCUAGGCUGCAGAAGACUUAAAAAGUUGAUGUAUUUAACUUUUAAUGGACACACUGUACAUGUUUAUGGGGUACGAUUUGUUGUUUCCAUGCAUAUCUGUGUUGUGUAAUGAUCCAAUCAGGGUAGUGUGUGUGCCCAUUUCCUCAAGGGUGGAUCAUUAUGUGUAUCAUCGUGCAUCAUCAUGUAUCAUGCAUGUACCAUCAUCAUGCAUCAUUGUGCAUCAUCAUGCCUGUAUCAUUAUGUAUCACCUCAUGCAUAUAUUAUAAUGUAUCACCUC